rnacentral:rRNA from 1 species
UACGAAGGGGGCUAGCGUUGCUCGGAAUCACUGGGCGUAAAGGGAGCGUAGGAGGGCAGGUAAGUCAGUGGUGAAAUCUCCGGGCUCAACCCGGAAAUGGCAUUCGAAACUACCUUGCUAGAGGGUUUGAGGGGGGACUGGAAUACUUGGUGUAGCAGUGAAAUGCGUAGAUAUCAAGUGGAACACCAGUGGCGAAGGCGAGUCCCUGGAAAACUCCUGACACUGAGGCACGAAAGCUAGGGGAGCAAACAGG